rnacentral:piRNA from 1 species
GGAGAAGAACCCUGGCACCAAAUCCUCAA